rnacentral:rRNA from 1 species
CCUANGGGUGGCUGCAGUCGAGAAUCUUUCGCAAUGGACGAAAGUCUGACGAAGCGACGCCGAGUGAACGAUGAAGGCCUUCGGGUUGUAAAGUUCUUUCGCAGGGGAACAAGAGAUAGAGGUUAAUAUCCUUUAAAUUUGAGCGUACCCUGUAAAGAAGCACCGGCUAAUUCCGUGCCAGCAGCUGCGGUAAUACGGAAGGUGCAAGCGUUAACCGGAUUUAUUGGGCGUAAAGAGUGCGUAGGCUGGAGAAUAAGUCAGAUGUGAAAUUUCGAUACUCAAUAUCGAAGCUGCAUUUGAAACUGUUUUUCUAGAGGAUAGGUGGAGAAAGCGGAAUUCCGUAUGUAGCGGUGGAAUGCGUAGAUAUACGGAGGAACACCCGUGGCGAAAGCGGCUUUCUAACUUAUUCCUGACGCUGAGGCACGAAAGCGUGGGGAGCAAACAGGAUUAGAUACCCCUNUANUC